GACGAACGCUGGCGGCGUGCCUAAUACAUGCAAGUAGAACGCACAGUUUAUACCGUAGCUUGCUACACCAUAAACUGUGAGUUGCGAACGGGUGAGUAACGCGUAGGUAACCUGCCUGGUAGCGGGGGAUAACUAUUGGAAACGAUAGCUAAUACCGCAUAAUAUUGAUUAUUGCAUGAUAAUUGAUUGAAAGAUGCUAUUGCAUCACUACCAGAUGGACCUGCGUUGUAUUAGCUAGUAGGUGAGGUAACGGCUCACCUAGGCGACGAUACAUAGCCGACCUGAGAGGGUGAUCGGCCACACUGUGACUGAGACACGGCCCAGACUCCUACGGGAGGCAGCAGUAGGGAAUCUUCGGCAAUGGACGAAAGUCUGACCGAGCAACGCCGCGUGAGUGAAGAAGGUUUUCGGAUCGUAAAGCUCUGUUGUAAGAGAAGAACGGGUGUGAGAGUGGAAAGUUCACACUGUGACGGUAUCUUACCAGAAAGGGACGGCUAACUACGUG
rnacentral:rRNA from 1 species